AAACCGCUGGAAGGGAAGCGAAUGGGGUCGGCAAUUCACCUGAUCAGAUUCAGUCACGCGCUUUCCACAACGCGCUCGCACUUCGCGAUCUUUCCAGACGCAUCGCGUGCGACGUGGGAAGGGCGUGGUGCACUUCUGUCACGUGAGCGUCAACGUCAGUUCACUGCGAGUCAAACGGCCCCGAGGACGGUAGGUCCCCCUUCGGUGGGAUCGGUAAGCCUCUUGUGCACACGACUCGCCGUGGACUGUGUCCUGUCGCGGCGCGGGCCUCCCUUCCGAGGGCAGGCUGCAGUCUCGUCGCUCUGCCGUUCACGGUGCUAAACGGACGGCGAUGCCUGUGCGUCACAAGCACAGACGGUCGAGUGGCGAGCGACACCGACACGACGCGCCGAGUACGUUGACCGCCAAGCGACUCCAUCCGACCCGUCUUGAAACACGGACCAAGGAGUCUAACAUGUGCGCGAGUCUCAGGGUGAUCGAAACCCGUGGGCGUAAUGAAAGUAAAUGCGCUUUUUGCGCAGAGGUGUGAAGUUCGCUGCAGCUGCUGCAUCACCGACCGACCUGUUCUACUCUUAGGAAGGUUUGAGUUAGAGCGCACCUGUUGGGACCCGAAAGAUGGUGAACUAUGCCUGAGUAGGGCGAAGCCAGCGG
rnacentral:rRNA from 2 species